rnacentral:rRNA from 1 species
AGCCUGAACCAGCCAAGUAGCGUGAAGGAUGAAGGCUCUAUGGGUCGUAAACUUCUUUUAUAUAAGAAUAAAGUGCAGUAUGUAUACUGUUUUGUAUGUAUUAUAUGAAUAAGGAUCGGCUAACUCCGUGCCAGCAGCCGCGGUAAUACGGAGGAUCCGAGCGUUAUCCGGAUUUAUUGGGUUUAAAGGGAGCGUAGGUGGACUGGUAAGUCAGUUGUGAAAGUUUGCGGCUCAACCGUAAAAUUGCAGUUGAUACUGUCAGUCUUGAGUACAGUAGAGGUGGGCGGAAUUCGUGGUGUAGCGGUGAAAUGCUUAGAUAUCACGAAGAACUCCGAUUGCGAAGGCAGCUCACUGGACUGCAACUGACACUGAUGCUCGAAAGUGUGGGUAUCAAACAGGAUUAGAUACCCUGGUAGUCCACACAGUAAACGAUGAAUACUCGCUGUUUGCGAUAUACAGUAAGCGGCCAAGCGAAAGCAUUAAGUAUUCCACCUGGGGAGUACGCCGGCAACGGUGAAACUCAAAGGAAUUGACGGGGGCCCGCACAAGCGGAGGAACAUGUGGUUUAAUUCGAUGAUACGCGAGGAACCUUACCCGGGCUUAAAUUGCAGUGGAAUGAUGUGGAAACAUGUCAGUGAGCAAUCACCGCUGUGAAGGUGCUGCAUGGUUGUCGUCAGCUCGUGCCGUGAGGUGUCGGCUUAAGUGCCAUAACGAGCGCAACCCUUAUCUUCAGUUACUAACAGGUCAUGCUGAGGACUCUGGAGAGACUGCCGUCGUAAGAUGUGAGGAAGGUGGGGAUGACGUCAAAUCAGCACGGCCCUUACGUCCGGGGCUACACACGUGUUACAAUGGGGGGUACAGAAGGCAGCUAGCGGGUGACCGUAUGCUAAUCCCAAAAUCCUCUCUCAGUUCGGAUCGAAGUCUGCAACCCGACUUCGUGAAGCUGGAUUCGCUAGUAAUCGCGCAUCAGCCACGGCGCGGUGAAUACGUUCCCGGGCCUUGUACACACCGCCCGUCAAGCCAUGGGAGCCGGGGGUACCUGAAGUACGUAACCGCAAGGAUCGUCCUAGGGUAAAACUGGUGACUGGGGCUAAGUCGUAACAAGGUAGCCGUACCGGAAGGUGCGGCUG